rfam:Otolemur garnettii contig063376, whole genome shotgun sequence.
GACUGAGAUCAAAAAGGGUGACAUUCCACAUAUCUGCUGUGAUCAAAAAGGAGCCUAGAGUGACAGUUUCCCUUGACAGUCCCGGUUCUGUUUGCUAUAACCGAUCUCCAACAUUUUAGGAAAAUGCAGUU